AUUGAACGCUGGCGGCAUGCUUUACGCAUGCAAGUCGAACGGUAACAGGCCUUCGGGCGCUGACGAGUGGCGAACGGGUGAGUAAUGCAUCGGAACGUGCCCAGUCGUGGGGGAUAACGCAGCGAAAGCUGUGCUAAUACCGCAUACGAUCUGCGGAUGAAAGCGGGGGACCUUCGGGCCUCGCGCGAUUGGAGCGGCCGAUGUCAGAUUAGGUAGUUGGUGGGGUAAAGGCUCACCAAGCCAACGAUCUGUAGCUGGUCUGAGAGGACGACCAGCCACACUGGGACUGAGACACGGCACAGACUCCUACGGGAGGCAGCAGUGGGGAAUUUUGGACAAUGGGCGCAAGCCCGAUCCAGCAAUGCCGCGUGCAGGAAGAAGGCCUUCGGGUUGUAAACUGCUUUUGUACGGAGCGAAAAGGCUCCCUCUAAUACAGGGGGCUCAUGACGGUACCGUAAGAAUAAGCACCGGCUAACUACGUGCCAGCCGCCGCGGUAAAAC
rnacentral:rRNA from 1 species